AACCAGGCUGAGGUCUUGACGAGA
rnacentral:miRNA from 1 species